GGGCGUAAAGCGAGCGCAGACGGUUGAUUAAGUCUGAUGUGAAAGCCCGGAGCUCAACUCCGGAAUGGCAUUGGAAACUGGUUAACUUGAGUGCAGUAGAGGUAAGUGGAACUCCAUGUGUAGCGGUGGAAUGCGUAGAUAUAUGGAAGAACACCAGUGGCGAAGGCGGCUUACUGGACUGUAACUGACGUUGAGGCUCGAAAGUGUGGGUAGCAAACAGGAUUAGAUACCCUGGUAGUCCACACCGUAAACGAUGAACACUAGGUGUUAGGAGGUUUCCGCCUCUUAGUGCCGAAGCUAACGCAUUAAGUGUUCCGCCUGGGGAGUACGACCGCAAGGUUGAAACUCAAAGGAAUUGACGGGGACCCGCACAAGCGGUGGAGCAUGUGGUUUAAUUCGAAGCAACGCGAAGAACCUUACCAGGUCUUGACAUCCUUUGAAGCUUUUAGAGAUAGAAGUGUUCUCUUCGGAGACAAAGUGACAGGUGGUGCAUGGUCGUCGUCAGCUCGUGUCGUGAGAUGUUGGGUUAAGUCCCGCAACGAGCGCAACCCUUAUUGUUAGUUGCCAGCAUUCAGAUGGGCACUCUAGCGAGACUGCCGGUGACAAACCGGAGGAAGGCGGGGACGACGUCAGAUCAUCAUGCCCCUUAUGACCUGGGCUACACACGUGCUACAAUGGCGUAUACAACGAGUUGCCAACCCGCGAGGGUGAGCUAAUCUCUUAAAGUACGUCUCAGUUCGGAUUGUAGUCUGCAACUCGACUACAUGAAGUCGGAAUCGCUAGUAAUCGCGGAUCAGCACGCCGCGGUGAAUACGUUCCCGGGUCUUGUACACACCGCCCGUCACACCAUGGGAGUUUGUAAUGCCCAAAGCCGGUGGCCUAACCUUUUGGAAGGAGCCGUCUAAGGCAGGACAGAUGACUGGGG
rnacentral:rRNA from 1 species